rnacentral:rRNA from 1 species
UACGUAGGGGGCAAGCGUUGUCCGGAAUUAUUGGGCGUAAAGAGCGCGUAGGCGGUCCGAUAAGUCGGCUGUGAAAGUCAGGGGCUCAACCCUUGAAAGCCGGCCGAUACUGUCGGACUAGAGUCCGGAAGAGGCAAGUGGAAUUCCCGGUGUAGCGGUGAAAUGCGCAGAUAUCGGGAGGAACACCAAUGGCGAAGGCAGCUUGCUGGGACGGUACUGACGCUGAGGCGCGGAAGCGUGGGGAGCAAACAGG